rnacentral:lncRNA from 1 species
UUCGGAAGCAAUUACAGCUGAAUUCAACAAUGAAAAUUUGAAAGGGACAGAGAUGAAACAAACUCGACCCCGAACAACACUCUAAACAAUAGUAGAGACAAAUUCGAAUAACCAAAUAAAGCAGAGAUGAAAGAUGGAGCUCAGCAAAACAGAAUCAACAAAACAUAACUUUAGUUUCUGAAAUCGAAAUCAAAACUCUAACACCCAGAAAUUGGGGAGAUAAAGCGGCAGAAAUCAGCAGAACUUUUGAAACACCUUGCUUCCCCAAUUUUCUUCUAAUUUUGAAACCUCUUUUGUCAUUUUCAGCUCUCAAAAUCUUUCAGAACUUCCAAUUUUUCUUGCUUUUUCCAUUUGUUGCUGAAGGUUUUUGUGUGUGUCUGUAUUUUUCGGGUAUGUGUUCUCUGUUAUGUUGAGCGAGAGAUGGGGAAGAAGAUAAGGGGAAACAACAUUUUUGCUUUUUUAGAGAGGCGGGAGGUCUAUUUUUUGUCUUCGCUAGAGAUGAGGAAGAAGAAGCCAGAAACGACGCUUAGGGUUGUAGUGGGGAGGGAUCUCAUCUAG